UCUUUGUACAUGUUCUUAUUUAUAUACAAGUGAUCUACUCUAACUAGAAAACUAAGGUACAAUAGGAAACAAUAAUUACAAUAGGAAAAGUAAUCAACAAACACCUAAUAAUCUGCUAUCACAACAGAAUCGGGAUUCCAACACUUCUAAUGAUCAUUCAUCUAUUUUCAAUGAGUUAUGCUACAUGUUAUGUAUGACAUCACAUGCACACUUCAUCAGCGCGGAUAACUGAUCUAAUGUUAACAUCAAUAAUAUGAAAACUUUUAAAAGUAUGUAACUCUUAUGAUCAUUCAGAAAGCUCAAUGAAUUUGAAAGUUGUUCAAGUUUUAGUGUACCAAAACAAGCUUACUUGAAGUAUCAGGAAACCAUCUGAGAGAAAAAAAGGUUGUUUGCUUGUAAGUCGAUUGUGAUGACCAUAGGGUUAAAACUUCAUUUAACCUAUUGCUAACAGCAGCCACUCUUUAUUCAAUAUGCUUUGCUAAUAUGUGCCAUUUCUUUCAUGAUUUCAAUGUACGUUGGUUCUUGCCUUUUUCUAUGUCUGAAUCUGAGUUUUCACCUUACAAUUGCAAGAAAUUGUUUUAAUUUUCAGGAAGCUGAGGCAAUACUAGAA
rnacentral:misc_RNA from 1 species